GAUGACGGCCUUCGGGUUGUAAACCUCUUUCAGCAGGGAAGAAGCUUUUGUGACGGUACCUGCAGAAGAAGCACCGGCUAACUACGUGCCAGCAGCCGCGGUAAUACGUAGGGUGCGAGCGUUGUCCGGAAUUAUUGGGCGUAAAGAGCUCGUAGGCGGCGUGUCACGUCGGAUGUGAAAGCCCGGGGCUUAACCCUGGGUCUGCAUUCGAUACGGGCAGGCUAGAGUUCGGUAGGGGAGAUCGGAAUUCCUGGUGUAGCGGUGAAAUGCGCAGAUAUCAGGAGGAACACCAAUAGCGAAGGCAGCUCGCUGGGACGUUACUGACACUGAGGCGCGAAAGCGUGGGGAGCGAACAGGAUUAGAUACCCUGGUAGUCCACGCCGUAAACGAUGGGUACUAGGUGUGGGAGGUGUCGACUCCUCCCGUGCCGUCGCUAACGCACUAAGUACCCCGCCUGGGGAGUACGGCCGCAAGGUUG
rnacentral:rRNA from 1 species